rnacentral:tRNA from 1 species
CGCGGGGUGGAGCAGUUCGGUAGCUCGCUGGGCUCAUAAUCCAGAGGUCGCAGGUUCAAAUUCUGUCCCCGCUAC